rnacentral:rRNA from 1 species
GGAGGGUGCGAGCGUUAAUCGGAAUUACUGGGCGUAAAGCGUGCGUAGGCGGUUCGUUAAGUCAGAUGUGAAAGCCCUGGGCUCAACCUGGGAACUGCAUUUGAAACUGGCGGACUAGAGUUUAGUAGAGGGGAGUGGAAUUUCAGGUGUAGCGGUGAAAUGCGUAGAUAUCUGAAGGAACACCAGUGGCGAAGGCGACUCCCUGGACUAGAACUGACGCUGAGGUACGAAAGCGUGGGUAGCAAACAGGAUUAGAUACCCUGGUAGUCCACGCCGUAAACGAUGUCGACUAGCCGUUGGUCCUAUUUACAGGAUUAGUGGCGCAGCUAACGCAUUAAGUCGACCGCCUGGGGAGUACGGCCGCAAGGUUA